rnacentral:rRNA from 1 species
GUGGGGAAUUUUGGACAAUGGGCGCAAGCCUGAUCCAGCAAUGCCGCGUGCAGGAAGAAGGCCUUCGGGUUGUAAACUGCUUUUGUACGGAACGAAACGGUCCGGGUUAAUACCCUGGGCUAAUGACGGUACCGUAAGAAUAAGCACCGGCUAACUACGUGCCAGCAGCCGCGGUAAUGCGUAGGGUGCAAGCGUUAAUCGGAAUUACUGGGCGUAAAGCGUGCGCAGGCGGUUUUGUAAGACAGGCGUGAAAUCCCCGGGCGCAACCUGGGAAUUGCGCUUGUGACUGCAAGGCUGGAGUGCGGCAGAGGGGGAUGGAAUUCCGCGUGUAGCAGUGAAAUGCGUAGAUAUGCGGAGGAACACCGAUGGCGAAGGCAAUCCCCUGGGCCUGCACUGACGCUCAUGCACGAAAGCGUGGGGAGCAAACAGGAUUAGAAACCCUUGUAGUCC